rnacentral:tmRNA from 1 species
GGGGAUGUACUGGUUUCGACAUGUAUUCUUUGGCAUUGAUUGCAGUCGAGUUGUGACGUAAUCACAAACAAAAAUUAUCUGGCAACAGAAAUUUCAAUUACGCAUUUGCUGCUUAGUCAGUAACUCAUUAUCGAGUUAGCGUGGGGCCUAAUAAGUUUGCUCCUGGCUUAUUAACGCUUCUUAAUUUAGGGAGAUAAGUUUUGUCUAAUGAUUAUAAGGCAAGAACGAAAAAUUAUAAUCUAGUGGUGUAAAGUUCGUUGAGAUUGAUAAGCCAUGAAAUUUAAAACCUCAACUAAACUGUAGUGGUCUUUGUAGGGGGAUAUGUGGACCGGAGUUCGACUCUCCGCAUCUCCACCA